AUUGAACGCUGGCGGCAGGCCUAACACAUGCAAGUCGAACGAGUGGCGGACGGGUGAGUAAUGUCUGGGAAUCUGCCCGAUGGAGGGGGAUAACUACUGGAAACGGUAGCUAAUACCGCAUACCAUCAGAUGUGCCCAUAUGGGAUUAGCUUGUUGGUGGGGUAACGGCUCGCCUAGGCUACGAUCCCUAGCUGGUCUGAGAGGAUGACCAGCCACACGUGGACUGAGACACGGCCCAGACUCCUAGGGGAGGCAGCAGUGGGGAAUAUUGCACAAUGGGCGCAAGCCUGAUGCAGCCAUGCCGCGUGUAUGAAGAAGGCCUUCGGGUUGUAAAGUACUUUCAGCGGGGAGGCGUUACCCGCAGAAGAAGCACCGGCUAACUCCGUGCCAGCAGCCGCGGUAAUAC
rnacentral:rRNA from 1 species